GGACAGGGGAGGAACACGUGGGUAACCUGCCCUUAAGUGGGGGAUAACAUUUGGAAACAGAUGCUAAUACCGCAUAGAUCCAAGAACCGCAUGGUUCUUGGCUGAAAGAUGGCGUAAGCUAUCGCUUUUGGAUGGACCCGCGGCGUAUUAGCUAGUUGGUGAGGUGAUGGCUCACCAAGGCGAUGAUACGUAGCCGAACUGAGAGGUUGAUCGGCCACAUUGGGACUGAGACACGGCCCAAACUCCUACGGGAGGCAGCAAUAGGGAAUCUUCCACAAUGGACGCAAGUCUGAUGGAGCAACGCCGCGUGAGUGAAGAAGGCUUUCGGGUCGUAAAACUCUGUUGUUGGAGAAGAAUGGUCGGCAGAGUAACUGUUGUCGGCGUGACGGUAUCCAACCAGAAAGCCACGGCUAACUACGUGCCAGCAGCCGCGGUAAUACGUAGGUGGCAAGCGUUAUCCGGAUUUAUUGGGCGUAAAGCGAGCGCAGGCGGUUUUUUAAGUCUGAUGUGAAAGCCCUCGGCUUAACCGAGGAAGCGCAUCGGAAACUGGGAAACUUGAGUGCAGAAGAGGACAGUGGAACUCCAUGUGUAGCGGUGAAAUGCGUAGAUAUAUGGAAGAACACCAGUGGCGAAGGCGGCUGUCUGGUCUGUAACUGACGCUGAGGCUCGAAAGCAUGGGUAGCGAACAGGAUUAGAUACCCUGGUAGUCCAUGCCGUAAACGAUGAAUGCUAGGUGUUGGA
rnacentral:rRNA from 1 species